UGGGGAAUAUUGGACAAUGGGCGAAAGCCUGAUCCAGCCAUGCCGCGUGUGUGAAGAAGGCCCUCGGGUUGUAAAGCACUUUCAGUGGGGAAGAAAGCCUCGGGAUUAAUACUUCCGAGGAAGGACAUCACCCACAGAAGAAGCACCGGCUAACUCCGUGCCAGCAGCCGCGGUAAUACGGAGGGUGCGAGCGUUAAUCGGAAUUACUGGGCGUAAAGCGCGCGUAGGCGGUCUGAUCAGCCGGUUGUGAAAGCCCCGGGCUCAACCUGGGAACGGCAUCCGGAACUGUCAGGCUAGAGUGCAGGAGAGGAAGGUAGAAUUCCCGGUGUAGCGGUGAAAUGCGUAGAGAUCGGGAGGAAUACCAGUGGCGAAGGCGGCCUUCUGGACUGACACUGACGCUGAGGUGCGAAAGCGUGGGUAGCAAACAGGAUUAGAUACCCUGGUAGUCCACGCCGUAAACGAUGUCGACUAGCCGUUGGGGUCCUUGAGACCUUUGUGGCGCAGUUAACGCGAUAAGUCGACCGCCUGGGGAGUACGGCCGCAAGGUUA
rnacentral:rRNA from 1 species